GGAGUUGACUGGGUAGUCGCUGCUUUGUUGAUGUCCUUCGGGAGACUGACGUUGAAGUCCUUUGGGAGACUGACGUUGACGUCCUUCGGGAGACUGACAAAGGGGAGGAAAGUCCGGGCUCCAUAGAGCAGGGUGCCAGGUAACGCCUGGGGGGCGCAAGCCUACGACAAGUGCAACAGAGAGAAGACCGCCGAUGGCCUUGAUUCGCAAGAUGAGAGGAUCAGGUAAGGGUGAAAGGGUGCGGUAAGAGCGCACCGGACGACUGGCAACAGUUCGUAGCAGGGUAAACUCCACCCGGAGCAAGACCAAAUAGGCCUCCACAUAGCGUUGCUCGCGUUAGGAGGCGGGUAGGUUGCUUGAGCCAGUGAGCGAUUGCUGGCCUAGAGGAAUGGCUACCGCCGCGCAAGCGGAACAGAACCCGGCUUAUAUGUCGGCUCCACCCU
rnacentral:RNase_P_RNA from 1 species